AGGCGCGAGGCGGGAGGCGUGAGGUGCGAGAUGGCCGGGAGCUGGCUUCUUGCGCUCCCCCGGGUCCUCAGAGCAUGUACACACUGAGAUCCAGAGGUGCAGCAGCUGUCUUGGGACCAUGAGGUGAGCAGCAUAAGGAGGAAGACCCAUAUACUCAGCACAGCUGACUAGGUGUCUCUGCCUAAAAUGUGUUCUUCAAUCAGUGGAGACGAUCUGCUAUCCCUCUGUUCUGAGACAGAGGCUGAAUUUCAGCCGCUGCUGCUCUCUCAGAAGAGACAGAGCAAACCGCCAGGGAAAGCCGCCAGAGAACAAAAGCCAGGAAAUACCGGCUCACAGGGUGC